AUCCUGAAUUAAAUUGCCAUUUCUGGUUGUGUUUCUGAUCUGCAGUCUGAUUUUGGGCAAGGACGAUCUGGCACAUUGCUGAAACAUAAAACAUGUGUCAAACACAGUUUGUCUCCUAUUCCAACAUGUGUGAUCAACUGUCAGAGUUGAAUGCACUGAAAGAAAAAAAAACUGGCAGCUUUGGAAACCAGGCUGAAGGACAGUGAAAACCAGAUUGUGGAACUGAGGAACAAAGGUAGAGUGAAACGUUUUGAUUUCAUUGAGUGAAACAUUUAAUAAGCAAUGUGUGAGUUGUGGUGGAAUGUGUAAAUACAAAAUAAUGAUGAGAAUAUUUUUGCUUUACAUUGAGAGAACAAAUGUGAUAUUCAGUGCAGCGGCAGGAGCAAGAGGAGAAAUUGGACCUUAAAACACAGAGACAGCUCUCACCUAAAAAAAGUGAUUACAAAUAUUGGAAAUGCCCACAGUGAAUUCACAGGUGUUUAUUACUUUAUCUUCCAUCAUUCUGGAGGAGACUCUGAGACAGAGCUGUUUCUCUACAACAGUCAGCGUGUGGUCAUGACACAGGAUCACACAGCAGUCCGUGAAACGGCUCAUAAUGGAGGAAACCCAGUGUUUCUGUGAGAUCAGUGAAAGGUUGAGUUUACAUUUCUCUAGGAUAUCAAAGGUUAACUGACUGACAGUAAAUGUACUUAAUACCAUUUCCUCACUGCAAGUGCACUGAAACAGUAAACAAGAUAAUAAAGCCAAAGUCAAAUGGGACGUUAAAAAUUAACAGGUCAUCAUUAAACAAAAUAAAAACAGCCAGAGGGAUCACAUCAGUCAAAAUUUAUGUGGCUGAGAGACACUGAAGCAACUUGGAAGAUGAAUUUUACCAUUUUAUGGUUUGUUUUGCUGUUCUGUGGCUUGAUUUUGGCCCAGGAUGAAGGUACUGCUAUUGAAACACAGUCAUGCUUUCCUGACAUGUGUAAUCUCCUGAAAGAGUUUGGUGCCAUGAGAGAAAAACUGGGAGCUAUGGAAACCAGGCUGAAGGACAGUGAAACCAGGCUGAAGGACAGUGAAACCAGGUUGAAGGACAGUGAAAACCAGAUUCUUGAACUGAAGAACAAAGAAAGAACCAUGGUAGUAUUCAGUGCAGCAACGGGAGGGAGUGGAACCAUUGGACCCUUCAGCACAGACACAACUGUAGUCUACCAAACAGU